rnacentral:lncRNA from 1 species
AAGAAUCAUUUGGUGAUUCUACCAUCAAAGCCAUGUUGAUUUGGGUCAAACUAUGUAUACUGGAAAAAUUCACAUCGUUUACUAGUUUGAUUGCUUUCAGACACACACAGUCCUGGUGAAUGCUUGGCACUGAUUUGGGUUUUUCUUUCUUAAGUCUGUGUUGUGUUUUCAGUGUAUACUAUUUGCUCCAUUUCUUUGUAUUUGUUUUUAUUUUUCUUUUCUUUAUCUUUCUCUCUCCCCCUUUCUCUCUCUCUUUCUUUUGUGUAUUUAUCUUUCUUUCUUCCUAUAGCUGGUAGUAUGUAAAAAGAAAAAAAAGUAACAUUUGUAUAUGAUUAAAAUAAAAGUCAAGGUCUUUUAGAGGAAGCUAAAACUAACACUUCCAGGCUCUUCAGGGCUGUGGAGUUGUUACAUUUAAAUAAAUAUUUAAAUAAAAGAAGAAUAAAAUUCAGCUUAAGCUACCAUUUGUGCGUAGGUAUCCUUGCUAUGUGGAAAUUGUUGGAAUUGUUGAGACUUACGCUAAUAGCAGUAAAAGCCUACUAUACUGACCUGGUUCGUCCCAACUACAGAAAUGGAAGACCAAAUGGAGUACAACCUGUGUACAACCUGGGUCAGAGGACAUUUCCUGCCUCACUUUCACUAGCUAGCCACGUGAGGAGUAAUCUCCAUCUUCCUAGAGGUUGAACUUGAUCUUUGUGAUUCCUGCAGUUCUAGCUUCUCUCUUGAGUCACAGUAGUAUCCUUCUGCCGGGAGUUAAGGCUUGUCUAGCUUAAAACAAAGAGGAAAAGGAAAUGCCCCAGUUUUCUUCUCGUCUCUCGUUUCUCCUUUGUCGAUUCGGUCCCUGGGAGGCUGUUUCUCUGCGCUGAACUGCUUUAUGGUGCAUGGAAUAUCCAUCAGCGUUACCUCCACCAUAGCUGCUCACACUCCUUAGAAGCCGAUUUUUAAAGCAGAAGCAAAAAAAGCAAAAACUUAAACACCCCCUUCUCUUUUUCCUCAUUUCACCUUUUGGUGUUGAUUGCUAAUCACUUUAGAUAUAUUGUUGCUAGUGAAUGUAUGAUAGAUGGUUGAAGCUUUUCUGAUAAUUAUCACAUGAUUUAAAACAAUAUAUAUUUAAAACGAAUAUAUACAGUAAAUGUAUUGAGCCGUGUAACCUGCCAAUGAGAUCUGUGAAAAAGUAAUGGCCUCACUUUUCCCUUUUGGAUUUCUUUUACCUUUCUGUGAAGCAGCUCUGCGUGGCAUACAUGUAUUUAAAAACACAAAUAGUGGUAGGAUGGUUUGGUUUUUUUGUUUUUUUGUUUUUUUUUUUUUACACUUUUAACUUAGCAUGUGGUGUUGAAGAAUUACCAUAGAUCCAGUUUGUCUUCUGCACUAAGAUGUGAGGAAAUCGUGAUUUGUUCUCUCCAGCACAGUGAAAUUACACCUUCAUCAUCUUCUAUUGUUUGGAAAACACUGCAGUUUACCAUGGGACACUGUAUAUAUUUCUUGCCGUAAUGGUAAAUGACUGAUUGAUAUAUUUAAGAGUUAAUAAAUUUGUGAUUUCUGCUGACAAUGUGUCCAUUUUUAUUUCUUAAGAAAUACUCUAUGUGUGGUGCCGGCCACUGCCAAGGACAUGAUGUCCUGCCCUGGUCUCCUUCAAUAAACAACUUGCAGUCUGUGAUCAUGGCAAGCUGUUUGUUCUCGCUGCACGCAGUGGAGCUGUCUGUCGUUCCACAGAAAACUUAGCUGAAAGGAAAAUUAGCGGCUGAGUAUCCUAAAAGCUUGUAGAUGCACACGCUUCUGUCCAUCUCUUUAGCAGGACUGCUAAAAUGUCCCUCUACUAACACAGAGCUGUCAGUCAUCUCCAGUACAUAGCAGUCACCCUAGAUGCUAUGACCUCACAAUUACAGAUUGCUAAUGUGCUAUUAGUUAAAGCACUACCUGUUCUUUAUGUCCACUCAUGUGACUCACUUUCUUACCUAGAACAGUCUUCCUUUGUUGGAUUAUCCCAUUCUUUAACUCAUUCACUGAAAUCCAGAGUAGUGUUGUGCCUCCUCUAGUGAAUUUCCUUGGCAGCUCCUAGGCUUGUUUGCUCUGUCAUGAGUUGCGUGGUAGUCUGCAUUCACUAUUCCUGCUGCUAUCCACAUUAUUCUGACAGUAUAUAUAUUUUUUGCAUUAUCUUUACUGUAGUAGGAAAGUCUGUAGAGAUGAGAACUAUGCAUUCACGACUAUACCCCUACAAUGAAACCAGAGCGAGAAAAGGAGGGGCUGUAAAUAAACCAUUGUUGAACUGAGACCAUACUGUACAAAGCAACCUCUAAGUGAGAUCAGGCAGUCCUGGGUUGAAUGCUGGGCUCUUUCAUCAUUAUCCUGAUGUUCUAAACAAGCUGCUUCUUACCUUGGAACUUCAGUUUCCUUAAAAUGAGUGUAAGUAUAUAAAUUAAAUUAUAAUAUCUUAAGGAUUAGAAAUAACAGGCAUAAAAUCCCUAGAAUACCUUUUUUGUAUAUUAAAUGAGCGUUAUUGGGCAUGCUGGUAUAUGGCUAUGAUCUCAGCAAGCUAGUAUGGGCUACAUAGAAGACCCCACCUCAACAAAAUGUAUAAAUGAACCCAUGAUACUCACAGAACCCUCUUGCUAUCAUUCCCUGUUUCAGAUCAGGAGGGUGUGCAACCCUUGCUUUACCAUGGGGAGCUCUCUUAAGUUAAGCUUACUGUUAUUGCAAAGGAUGUACUUGCAUUCCAGUGCCUCAGCAAGAAGAUGAGAGCCACAAAGGGAGGUAGCCAUGGCCCUGAAAAUACAAAAGGAGAUGGAGUUAACUGGUACAUUUUGGGGAAAAUUUCAAAAAUGUCAAUUUUAAGUAGCUAAAAUUUUGAAUUUCUAUGUAAAAGAAUUCUAUAUAAUGUGAAGAUAAAUGUAGAAAACAACUUUCAUUAAAUAUUUGUUUUAGUCAUUUCAUUAAAUAAAAUCCUACUGACUUUGAGACU